CCUACGGGUGGCAGCAGUGGGGAAUAUUGGGCAAUGGAGGAAACUCUGACCCAGCAACGCCGCGUGAAGGAUGAAGGUUUUCGGAUUGUAAACUUCUGUCGCGAGGGACGAAGAAUGACGGUACCUCGUCAGAAAGCCCCGGCUAACUCCGUGCCAGCAGCCGCGGUAAUACGGAGGAUGCGAGCGUUAUCCGGAUUUAUUGGGUUUAAAGGGUGCGCAGGCGGAUUUUUAAGUCAGUGGUCAAAUCGUGGGGCUCAACCCCAUCCAGCCGUUGAAACUGGGGAUCUAGAGUGUGCGAGAGGUAUGCGGAAUGCGUGGUGUAGCGGUGAAAUGCAUAGAUAUCACGCAGAACCCCGAUUGCGAAGGCAGCAUACCGGUGCACAACUGACGCUCAGGCACGAAAGCGUGGGUAUCGAACAGGAUUAGAUACCCCGGUAGUC
rnacentral:rRNA from 1 species